rnacentral:rRNA from 1 species
AUUGAACGCUAGCGGGAUGCCUUACACAUGCAAGUCGAACGGAGCGGCGAACGGGCGAGUAAGGUAUCGGAACGUGCCCAGUAGCGGGGGAUAACUACGCGAAAGCAUCGCUAGUAACUCCUGCUAUUCUAGCGGCCGAUCUGGGUUUAGCGAGUUGGUGGGGGAACGGCUCACCAAGGUGACGAACCGUAGCUGGUUUGAGAGGACGACAAGCCACACUGGGACUGAGACACGGCCCAGACUCCUACGGGAGGCAGCAGUGGGGAAUGUUGGAAAAUGGGGGAAACCCUGAUCCAGCCAUCCCGCGUGUGCGAUGAAGGCCUUCGGGUUGUAAAGCACUUUCGGCAGGGAAGCGGUACAUGCAGAAUAAGCACCGGCUAACUACGUGCCAGCAGCCGCGGUAAUUC